CCCAAUCAAAGGGCAUCCCCUCAUUUUUCAAUUCCCUUUGUGGUUUCUAACUAACUGAGCAAUCCAUAGCCCCAUUAUUGAUGUCAUCAAUGACAUCAUGCGAAUGUCUGCCAUCAAUAUUGCAGCCCACAGAUUGAGCUGUUCCAACUAUCUCUUUAAUGGUUCCAAGAGAGGUCUCUUGCCAGGGAUAGGGGUUUCUUCUAGGGCUUUUAUGAUCAGGGCCAAGGCAGAAGGCACUACCUCAAUCUAGGCUUAUCUAUUCUGAAUGGUAAACCCUGGAACAUAAGCACUAAAUUCCACAAAUGCAUGAUAUUUGGUCUCCAAAAUCAGGAUAUGAAUUAACCUCAAAGUCAGGAGACCCACAUCUAUAUACCUACUUCCAGGAAGACUGGGAAGUUUUUCCAUGGAGAAAGAAAGAAAGAGAGAAAGUGCCAGAAGAAGAGACCCAGCUAAAGACAAUGGAGAUUUUGGUCCUUAACAGGAAGGAGAAAAGAUAAUAACUCGACUAAAUAAAGACAACCAUUGAGGCA
rnacentral:lncRNA from 1 species